GACGAACGCUGGCGGCGUGCCUAAUACAUGCAAGUAGAACGCUGAAGGAGGGGCUUGCUUCUCCGGAUGAGUUGCGAACGGGUGAGUAACGCGUAGGUAACCUGCCUGGUAGCGGGGGAUAACUAUUGGAAACGAUAGCUAAUACCGCAUAACAGUAGAUGUUGCAUGACAUUUGUUUAAAAGGUGCAAUUGCAUCACUACCAGAUGGACCUGCGUUGUAUUAGCUAGUUGGUGAGGUAACGGCUCACCAAGGCGACGAUACAUAGCCGACCUGAGAGGGUGAUCGGCCACACUGGGACUGAGACACGGCCCAGACUCCUACGGGAGGCAGCAGUAGGGAAUCUUCGGCAAUGGACGGAAGUCUGACCGAGCAACGCCGCGUGAGUGAAGAAGGUUUUCGGAUCGUAAAGCUCUGUUGUAAGAGAAGAACGAGUGUGAGAGUGGAAAGUUCACACUGUGACGGUAUCUUACCAGAAAGGGACGGCUAACUACGUG
rnacentral:rRNA from 1 species